rnacentral:rRNA from 1 species
AACCUUUACACUGCACGACAGUGCGAUAAGGGAAUCCCAAGUGCGUAGGCAUAGAGCCUACGCUUUUGUCCACCGUAGGGAGGUGGACGAAUAAGGGCUGGGCAAGACCGGUGCCAGCCGCCGCGGUAAUACCGGCAGCCCAAGUGAUGGCCGCUCUUAUUGGGCCUAAAGCGUCCGUAGCUGGCCAGGCAAGUCCGUCGGGAAAUCCGCGUGCCCAACACGCGGGCGUCCGGUGGAAACUGCCUGGCUUGGGACCGGAAGACCUGAGGGGUACGUCCGGGGUAGGAGUGAAAUCCCGUAAUCCUGGACGGACCGCCGAUGGCGAAAGCACGUCGCGAGAACGGAUCCGACAGUGAGGGACGAAAGCUAGGGUCUCGAACCGGAUUAGAUACCCGGGUAGUCCUAGCCGUAAACAAUGCCUGCUAGGUGUGGCUCCCACUACGAGUGGGUGCUGUGCCGUAGGGAAGCCGCUAAGCAGGCCGCCUGGGAAGUACGUCCGCAAGGAUGAAACUUAA